CAGCGAAGCACAGUCAUAUUAUAAAUGCUGAUGUUGUAUCGCACGACUUCCCUCACGAUUUGAAGUUUGAGACUGGUUUUCUGUUGAAAUUCGUCUUAAUUUGCCUGUUCCGAUUUUAGUUGAAAAUGAGCACCGGCAAAUUUGGCAAUUACUGACGGCGUUGCUUGCUUUUUUGGAGUUAAAACGCAGCCAUUUAGACAUUGUUUAUGUUCUGAAUAAGCAGAGAAAAGGGG